GUAAGCACAUGAGCCAGCGAGGUGGCAACUCUGCGCAUUCUUUCACUGUGCCUUUGCACACUCGUUCGUACAUCGUUCGUUCGCAUUUAAUUCUCCCAUUCCAUUCCAUUUCCCCUGUCCACUGAUUCACAUUUUUACACCGAAAAUGAUUCAGGUGCAAGACGAAACAAAAAAAUUGCACUAGAUCACUUAAUUUCCCCACGUUUCGUAUCGCCAAUUUCGUUUAUUCACGGAUACAAGACCAAUCGAUGCGCAAUUAGGACUCGGGGCAACGUGCUUCACUAUUUAUAUAAUCGCAGAGGGGAGACGCCGCCGAAACGACCAAUCGAUUGUUGCACUUCUUUCGACUUCGCCCGAACGAACGAAGAAAAAAUCACUUUUCGACUUUGGCGUAUGCGUUUCUCGCUUGGUCGAUAGCCUCGUCUCUCUCCCGCACACGCGAUGCCCUGACGCGGCCAGUCGGACCGCUGUCACCAUCCCGCUCACACGCGCAGACGAAGCCAGAAAAUAGCUGAGCGACUGAGGGAAAAUUUUUUUGCCACUAUUCCGAUGUCGAUUUUCACCAAUUAAGUGACGUUUGCUGGACAAAAAACUAGCACAAUUCACGCCCCAACCGAUGCCCAACAAUUUGUGUUAAAUUCUCUGUCUAUCGUCAGAGUUUCGGAUCGCCAUAUUAUUCCCGGAUAUUGAAAGAAAAGGAAUAAAACGAUAUUAAAAUGCACACGGUGUUAACCCGAGGAAACGCCACGGUGGCAUACACGCUGAGCGUUCUAGCU
rnacentral:lncRNA from 1 species